UAUUUAAAAUAAAUACCCACAUUAAAAAUUACUAAAUAUUAAAUAAUUAUUUCAAAGUGUAUUUAUUUUUUAUUGUUCUGUUAGUUUCUGAUAAUGAUCUUCUAUCGUCGUCGAUGAUUACAGGCGUGUAGUACGUUCAUUGAUAUUAAACUAUAUAUAUCUAUGAGUACAUUGCUCUUAUAAUAUUAAUUAUUAACAUACGCCGACGCGGAAGGCACCAAGUCUUAUCUCAAUUAACUAUGUUUAAUUCUUUCUUAUUAUUAUUCUGUAGUUUUAGGCGUAAAAUUUUUAAAACAUGAAUGUAUUGUAUUAAUUAUAAGAUUUCAAAGCACGUAGCAAUAUCGUCAUGGUGUACUUGGAGUGUCCUGAUAAAUUCCAACGCCACUACUUACAUAGAGUCCCAGCAACUACAGCCGUUUCUGCACAUAUAGCCUGUUGUCAGUUGGACAAUUCAGAAAACAGUUUUGUACAAGUCAUGGUUCACAGGAUUAAAAAACUUACAAUUUGUUAGUUCAUAGAGCUUAAGUUAAAUGAAGUCUUUUUGUUUGUAUUUAUUUUUUUGUACAUUUAUACUAAAUAAAAUUAUAUUAACAACACA